rnacentral:tRNA from 1 species
GGGCGCGUAGCUCAGUGGAAGAGCACAUCCUUCACACGGAUGGGGUCACAAGUUCAAUCCUUGUCGCGCCCACCA